AGAAGACAACAAAAGUCCAUGAAGAACAGGGCACUUCUCAGCAACCCUCAAGGAAGCAAUUGAACUAAAGCUUGAAAACCAUGGGGUCACUGAGAGAAGGAGCCUGAAGAGAGAAAAGGAUGAAGGACCCAAAAAAGACUAACAUUUAACAGAUGGGAUGUGAAACAGAACCAGAGGAUGCGGCUAUAAAACGCCAUCUUGGAAGCGAGACUGGGCUCUCAGCAGACACCAAACCUUCAUCUGGGACUUCCCAGCCUCCAGAACGAGUUAACAUGCAACUCUCUCUCUCUCUCUGAGUCAACUGAGAUCUCGGCAAAGCUGAAAUUCUGCUACAUACAAUUCUUCAGCAGGUAGGAUUGAUUGAAACAUUGAAAUGAGCUGCUUGUUCUGCUGUCUUUGAGAGUAUCAACCAAAACAAAGAGGGGUGUCUGGGAGAAAUAGGCACCCACUGAAUCUUUACAGUACACAAAUAUCUUACAUGGCGGUCACUUUAGGAAGUCCAAAAGAAGUGAGGAUAAACACCUGAUAUUUCAGACACCAAAAUAUCUGUUGUUUCUGUGAACAAUUACUAUAAUUUAAAUUGUGUUUUGCUUGACUCAUCUAAGUAAUUACCUCAAAUCCAUGCUUCAUUUUUUAAUCUCAUGCUAUAUAUAGUUUAUUAUUGUUACUACCUGGAGAAAUAAGUAAAGCAUUGUGAAGUUUCUUUGCUUUUUGCAAGAUAAAAUCUUUGUUCUUGCAAAAUAACAUAUUUGGUGGUAUCACCCGAAACAUUACUUUUUUCUAGAAUUAGAAACAGCAUUCAUAGAAGAGAUCUGAAAGUGCACUGUUUCAAAGAUAAGUUUUCUGCUGCAUGUAACUGAGUCUCUGGGAAAUUUUAUGACAAAUAUCCAUCCAUUGUUUUUGUAGUAAUCAUCGCAUUGUGAAAUUAAAAUGGACUCAAUACUAAGCAUUUUUAAAACAAUUACCCAGCAGUGAAAUUACUACAUCUUUUCUUCUAAAAAUAGAUUGUUAUCAUACAUACAUUUAUGUGAAAAGUGACUGAACUUUUUGAUUCAGUUCAGCAGCAACAUUCAUUAAACUUGCUUUUUAAUUUCUUCAGUUGGUUCCUGUAAAGUGCAAGGCUGUUCUGAAGGUUUAGGGUGUGAAUAUGUGGGCGUGAUUCCUUUUGAUCAAGAACAAAACUGAACCUUAUUCUCACCCAGCUUUCCCCUUUUGUGCUGUGUGUUCCGAGCAGCCUUUCAGAACAGGGUCCCAAAUUGCAGCGAUGUCCCAAAUCACAGGAUUAAUGUGUCUACGAACAGACCUCUUAUGCCUCCAAAAUGAAGUACUCCUUGCUAAUUUCUCUUCAAGACACCAGCUUAAUUGCAUUUUAAACAAAUGGGCUGCUUUGCUGGCCAACUUUUAAAUGAGAUAACAGCAAUGUUCACUCUCCAGCAGUGAUGAGUGCCUUGCAGUAGAUUCAAAACUCUGUUCAAUAACAGGUUUAAUCUCACACCAGCAGAUUUACUGCAGAAUAAACUGCCACUGAGCUCAUAAUUAGUAAAACAACAACAAAAAAAAAAUCCAACCUACUAAAUAUUAUUUUCCAAAGCAGCAGGCAAUCUUUUAGUGGAAAAAUUCAGUCCUGGUCUUUGUCUGUUUUAUUGAUUUUAUGUAUGAUAUUGGGAAUUCAUGCUAUGAUUUAAGAUAAUGUUCUUUAUCGAUCACGUAAGCAGUUGUUUAGCUAUCCAGUAACAAAAUGAUGCUCGCAUUCACAGAAUAUGGGACAUACAUAGCCAGGAGACUACAGUGCUACUCUCUUUAAUGUUUAUUUCUUUUUUUUUCCUACAAGCAUAUUCACUGCUGGAAAACAAUGGCAAAAAAGCAUUUGUGCUUUAGAAACAAUCUUCUCAUAAUUUUCUUUGUUGCAGCUAUUAGUGGCCAAUUGUGAUUCAGUGAAAACCCCGUUCAACAAACAGAUGUUACAAAGUAUAUUUUCUGCUUGCUGCAUCUAAACAAAUAUUAAUGAGGUAAUUGGAACUAUGAAGGAAAAAGGAGUGUUUUGCAAGUAUUUAUGAUUUCAUGUAUGAGGCUAUACCCUUCUAAAACUUCUCAUUUAUAUUGCACAAUUGUAAGAUGUAGUUAUAAAGAUAUACCAAGGGACACAUUUUUCAUAAUUGUCUCAAAUAUCUGUGCAAAAAAUUCAAAAACCUUGUCUGCAAAUAAGAGUAAAUGAAAGCUUUUGUGCAAAAGUGGAGAAAAGCAGUUAUAGGCAUUUUUUUAAAAAACCCAAGUACAUUAUAUAUAGCAUACAGAAAUUUUUAAAAAUCUUACUUGUUUUGUCUAAAUAUAAAUGAAAACUGUGAUAGCAAAAAAAAAAAAACUAUUAACAAAUAGCUUUUAAAAAUUUGGGCAGUGUGCUUUUCCCAACAUUUUUCAGACAUAAGUUGUCUUUAGUACAAGCACUAGCUCACCUCUCAUCACUCAAACAUAUAGUAAUGGCAUGUGAGGCUAGCUUUAUUUCUGGCAUUAACCUUUUGAUAAUGAGUGCUACAUCAAAUGGAAUUUGAGGAAUCUAAUGGUAUUGCUGUGCAGUUUAUUUUUUUAAGACCCCCAAAGCAAAUUAAACCUCAGUGCAUCAGACAUCAUAUUCAAAGACAAUAGCAGUUUUAAGAAAUAACUAAAAAAUACCAAUUUUACAAAUAAAGCUUUUAAUGCUAUAGGUUUUCCAAGAGAAGAUUCAAAAAAAAAUACUCAUUAUUAUCUUCAUUUAAAUUACCCCUAAUUAGUAUCGAUCCUGAGGAUUAAAAGUUUAAAAAAGAAGAAAAGAAAAAACAGAAAAAAAAGUGUUUCUUGUUCCAUCUCUAAUUAUCAUGGUAUUUCUAAGUCAUACAACCAAAUAAUUUUAGAAGUGAAAGGCCACAGGAAUGACCUAAUUCCCAUAACUCACAAAGGAGGAAACUAAUGUUCAGAAAAGUGAUGUGAUCAGCCCAAGGGCACAUUUUUCAUUUGUCUCAUCUAUUAUAUGGGAACAGUGUUUAUUCUUUCAUCACAUACCUAAUAAGUUUCAUAGUACAUACUCUAGUCCAUCAGAUUUCAAAGUCAUUGCUCCUAAACACACAGUGGAUGAUCUCAUCUAAUACAUGGCCACCUUAUAGAUCCUGUGCAAGACUAUAUUCAUCUUUUCCCGAUCACUUCAAUUUUGGCCUCAGUGCUGCUAGAGCAAGCAUUUGUUGUGACCUUUUUUGCAACUUUAUUGAAGCAUGAUAUACAUGUAUUAAAAUGCACACAUUUCUAAGUGUACAGUGUGAUGACUUUUGAAAAACACCCAUGUAACCACCAUUCCAAUCAAGAUAUAGAACACUGGCUUCACUCCAAAAAUUUCCUUCCUGUCUCUGCAACAAAUCCUCCCCCAUCACUCACCACAGGAAAUUGCUGAUCUGAUUUCUAUAAUUAUAGAUAAGUUUGGCCUGUUCUAGGACUUCAUAUAAAAGGAAGCACACUUUUAUUUAUUAAUUUGAUAUGGCAAAUACUUAUAAGAGCUUACUAUGUGCUAGACACAGAGUGCUCUACAAAUAUCAGAAUAUUCAAUCCUCUCAACCACCAUGAGGUGGAUCUUAUUAUUCCUGUUGUACAGAUAGUUAAACAGAAGCCCAGAGAGAUUAAGUAAAUAGUCUAAGGUUACACAGUGGGUAGAUGAUAGACCUAGAAUUUUAGCCCAAUAGUCUAGUUCCAGAGCCUAUGCCCUAACUCCCACAAAAUGCAGCAUGAGAAUAGAUGUAAUGAUAAGACCUAAAUCUUAUUCUCUCCUGGCCACUCUUCCAAGCAUUUACAAAUAUUAGCUCAUUUAAUUCUCAUAACAAUCAUAUGAUGUAGGCGAUAUUUUUCUCUUGACUUCAUAAGUGAAGAAAUGGAAGCACAGCAAGACACAGAGUGGUCAUAAAGCCAAGACCUUCACAUACAUUACAUCUGAAUCUCCAGAGCCUAGAAGAAUGCCUGGUAUGUAAUAGGUGCUCAAUAAAACAAACACAUUAUACAUAAUACAUUAUAUCCACUAUGAUAUUAUUUGGCUCUGUGUCCUCACACAAAUCUCAUCUCGAAUUAUAAUCCCCAUGUGUGGAGGGAGGAACCUGGUAGGAGGUAAUUGGACCAUGGGGGCGGUUUCCCCCAUGAUGUACUCUUGAUAGUGAGAAAGUUCUCACGAGAUUUAAUGGUUUAAAAGUGUUUGGCAGUUCCCCCCAACCCCACUGCCAUGUAAGACAAGCCUUGCUUCCCCUUCAUCUUCCACCAUGAUUUAAGUGUCCUGAGGCCUCCCCAGCCAUGUGGAACUGUGAGUUAAUUAAACCUUUUUUCUCCUAUAAAUUACCCAGUCUCAAGUAAUUCUUUAUAGCAGCAUGAAAAUGGACUAAUACACACUGUAAGAUUGUAUGUGAAAUAUAUUAUCAAUAACAUACUUUAUAUAUACAUCAUAUAUGUCUUUUAAUAAAUGAAUAGGUUUAUUUUGAUUUUUUAGCAUCCCAUGUAUGGAAAACAUAAACUCAAAGUGUUUUUUCUAUUCUGUCACUCAACAACAAUCAAUACAAAAUGCUUCUGUGACCAAAUGCUUGGGGGUUUGCUCCACACACCAAGCAAACCAUCAGUUCUGCAGCAGACGCCAGCUGGGUAUUCUCCAAUUCAAUGCUGGACUAUCUACCUAGAGGUAGCAGCAGAUCCCACAAGUUGAGGGCUCAGUCCAAAGACUGCUUCCUCUUCAGACCUCAGAUCAGGCCUAUGGAAAUUCUGAUUAAAUGGCUCCAAGUUGGGGCUCUCAUGGCCCCCUCUUUGGGUUUGAUUAAUUUACUAGAGUGGCUCACAGAACUCAGGGAAGCACAUUUACUGGUUUAUCAUAAAGGGUAUUACAAAGGAUACAGAUGAAGAGAUGUAUAGAAUGAAGUAUGGGGGAAGGGGUGCAAAGUUUCCAUGCCUUCCCUAGUCAUGCCAACCUCUAUGUAUUCAGCAAUCUGGAAGCUCUCAAAAUCCUGUCCCUCUGGUUUUUUAUAGAGGCUUCAUUACAUAUGCAUGAUUGAUUAAAUCACUGUCCAUUCAUAAUUGACUUAACCUUUAGCCCCUCUCCCCUCCUCAGAAGUCAGGGGGUGGGGCUAAAAGACCAAACCCUCUAAAAUUAUGCCUUGGUCUUUCUGAUGACCAGCCUCCAUCCUGAAGCUGCCCAGGGACUUCUAGCAUUCAGUCAAUUAUUAGUAUACAAAAAUACAUCACUUUGGAUAGUCUGAAGACUGUAGGAGUUGUAAACCAGGGAACUGAGCCAAAGACCAAACAUAUAUAUUUCACAAUAUCACACAUUCCCGUUCUACAAAUGAGAAAACAAAAUGGAGAGGUUCAGAAAGUGAAAGUAAAUAGCGUCGAAAUUUACAAACAGAUUGCAUGGUUUUAACACCAAGUAAGUAAGUUUGUAAAGAACACACAUUUUCCCUGUAUUUUUUAUGCAUUUUUCAGCAUUUGCAACAUAACUUUUCUCAUGUAACCAUCAUGCCAACCCUACGGAGAAUCGCUUCUCACCACUUUACCUGUUAGAUAACCAAUAUGCAGGGGGAUUAGACAAUUUCCCAUGGUCAACUAGCUGGGAAAGAAUAUAAUCUAUGUUCAUAUUCAGGCUGAUGAUGCAGGUGGGCAGGCAAGCCUUGAAAUUGGGCCUUAGCUCAGGAGGGUUCUUGGUUUUUCCCAGGAAAGCAUUCGAGGGUGAGCCAACAGUAUUAAACAGCAAUAUUGUAUUGAACUGGAGCUGCUCCUUGCAGAGCAAGGCGGACUUGUUGGCAGUGCACCCAGAGUCAGCAGUGUAUGGGCUGUUGGCAGCUGUAUUUAUACCCACUUAUACCUACUUUUAAUUACAUGCAAAUUAGGGGGUGGGGUAUUCAGAAAUUUCUAGCAGUGAAAGUAACUAGAGGUUGCCUUAGGUGCUACCUAUUGGUUCCUGCCAGUUCCUUCACUUCAUCCUGUCAACCAGGAAAUACAUCCUGCUGGUCUACUAUCUCGUUCCCCCUCAAAGAUUAGACACUCCUCCUUAAUCUUAAGGGAGCUGCAGAAGGGAGGAGGUUUUUCUGCUGAUUUUAUGGGGAUAGGCCCUGCCUAGCAUUGGAGCAGUAAAAAUCCCUGGAUGCUGCAUCUAAGGGGCUUAUUGGCCGAAUGAGAGCAUGUUUUCAUUUUCUAUGUCAGAAGAUGGGAUGGAUCAGAAGCCUUCUACCACCAUUGUUUUACAUGGAAUUGUUGUAGUCUAGAAGACACAAACUUUAUAAGUAGGUUAAACAAGCAAGGAACAAAAUUAUUUGUAACAAGAUAGCUAUCAAAGGUCCUAGGAAGGGUGAAAACUAGGUGAGACUAGAGAGGGUACUUUUGACAGUGAACCAGAUACAGUUGGGGUCAGUGUCCUGGUUAUAUCUAUGUAACAAAGUGGAAUUGAUCCUUGGCGGGGGGGUCCUUAUUUCCUAGUUUUUAAUAGGACCAAGUCUCCUGGUUGAACAGGGGAGCUAUUAUUUUCCAAGGGGAAUGCUUUAUUUUCAUAUUUUUCAAAGGUCUUUUGAACCUGGUCUAAGUUCCAAAGGGAGCAUAGUAAGAUAUGUCUGUCCUCCUGUUUCCCAUCAUGGCUCAAAUUAAGUUUUUGGGCAUCUUAUAGCCAAUUAAAAUUUUAAGCCAGAUGCAAAUGGAGGUGGGCAGGCAUUCAUUAGUCCUUAAAACACUUUUGAAGCAAUAUAGAAGCCAAAAACCAAAAUACAAAAAUAAGGUUACAUAUUAACAAAAUCAAGUUAGGCCAGGCAUGGUGGCUCACAUCUGUAAUCCCAGCACUUUGGGAGGCCAAGGCAGGUUAAUCACGAGGUCAGAAGUUCAAGACCAGCCUGGUAAAGAUGGUGAAACCCCAUCUCUACUAAAAAAAAACACAAAAAUUAGCCAGGCAUGGUGGCUGGCACCUGUAAUCCCAGCUACUCAGGAGGCUGAGGCAGGAGAAUUGCUUGAACCUGGGAGGUGGAGGUUGCAGUGAGCUGAGAUUGAAACACUGCACUCCAGCCUGGGUGACAGAGCAAGACC
rnacentral:lncRNA from 1 species